AUUGAACGCUGGCGGCAGGCCUAACACAUGCAAGUCGAGCGGAUGAAGGGAGCUUGCUCCUGGAUUCAGCGGCGGACGGGUGAGUAAUGCCUAGGAAUCUGCCUGGUAGUGGGGGAUAACGUCCGGAAACGGGCGCUAAUACCGCAUACGUCCUGCGGGAGAAAGUGGGGGAUCUUCGGACCUCACGCUAUCAGAUGAGCCUAGGUGGGAUUAGCUAGUUGGUGGGGUAAAGGCCUACCAAGGCGACGAUCCGUAACUGGUCUGAGAGGAUGAUCAGUCACACUGGAACGGAGACAGGGUCAAGGCGCCUACGGGAGGGAGCAGUGGGGAAUAUUGGACAAUGGGCGAAAGCCUGGUCCAGCCAUGCCGCGUGUGUGAAGAAGGUCUUCGGAUUGUAAAGCACUUUAAGUUGGGAGGAAGGGCAGUAAGUUAAUACCUUGCUGUUUUGACGUUACCAACAGAAUAAGCACCGGCUAACUUCGUG
rnacentral:rRNA from 1 species